ensembl:lncRNA
GCACAUGAAGCAUCAGGCUGACCUUCCUGCUCCACACGUUUACACUCUGCAGACAUCUUUACCUCUUCACUGCUCUCAGGACCAACACAUUCUGCUCCUUCAGUCGUUGUUGCACAGGGAUUCUCAUUGGGCCGCUGCCAGCGCAGGCUCUGAUCUUGUGACCUCUUACUCUUCCUUGGCAUUGUUGAUGUUUCAAAACCACAAAUGUUGUCGUACAAAACCAAGAUAUUAAAUACAAUAUGAAUACUAUGUUAUACUAGUUUAUAUUCAAAACCAGGAACAGUGGUGUGAGUUUGAUGGCAGAUGAAUGCUCCAAAAGAACGUUGGGUCUGCAGACAGGAAACGUCAAAUAAAUCCAAUUCUGACAGAUGCUUGUAUUUUAUUUCAGUAUGAAAAGUUUAACAACAAAACACUUGGACACUUAAACAAUGUAUGUGUAUAUGAAAAAGAUUUUAAAUAAAGUAAACAAUAAUUUUGCUAAUAUAUCUAGUGAUAUUCAAUUAAAGAAACCGUGCUAUGUGUAUAAAUAUCCUGUUAACCUUUUUUCCAAUUUUACGUUCAAACUAAUUCUGACUAAAACAGACUCAGUUUAUUCCAAAAGCUUUGCCCAAUUUGUAGAUAGUAAUCGUAUUCUAUUGCGUGUAGAUAGAAGAUUAAAAGAGGAUAAUCUGAUAGUAGAUCUAGUAGAACAGGUACUUGUAACCUGAGGUUGUUGUAAUAAAGGGUAACCAACGUUAUGUGGUUAGAUCAGGUAUUAGUAACCUGAAUUGUAUAUUGUAGACAGAGCGGUAGAUUUGAUAGGAUAGAUAGAGGUUCCAAUAAUGAGACAGAGUGGAUAGAAGGUAUAGGAUAGACAGAGAGCGUUUAUGAUAGAGGAGAGAUGCUGGCCAGCAGGACACCUGUAAGACACAAUAAAACAUGCAUUAGACAGCAGGUCGAACAACAAACUGAGUAACCUCUACUGUAAGCUUAAAGAUCACUGAAGGUUUCUAGUUAAAUGACCAGAUCAUAAACCCAUGUAAUAAUAUUUAAAAGUUGUUCUUAAAUGCGUUUAUUAAUUUGGCUGGAUUAAGACACCUCAAGGCCGGACCACACUCCCUGUGUUUCUCACACAAGUAGUUUGCACACAGUGUUGUUGCUACUGCCAGCACUUCUUUCUAAUUGUUCUCUUAUAAUUACUAUAAUUAAACAGUAUAAUAUAUUAUACAUUCAUAUUAACAUUAAACUAACGGGUUAAGAAGCUCCUUAAUAAAUAGAAAAAAUAAUCUUAAUAUUAAAGGCCGGUACUUUUUUCAAAGUUAUUGCAUUUUCCUACACUAUACUGCAAAUAUUUCAGAAUAAAAUGUGUUUUAACAAAUGAUGGGAUGCUUUUGACAAAAAAAUGUUAGCAGGCUUUUAUUAUUAUGUUAAGAGUUGAGUUAAAUACUUGUUUCCUGCCUGUGAAAUAUCUCCAGAUAUAGACAUUAAAACAGUAAGAGGCUAGUAUUACAUCAAUACACUGUCACAGGAUUGUUUUUACAGUCCAUGUCACUUCCACAGUCACGGUCGGUCUUGGGCAUCAGUGUUUCACUUCAACUUUACUAUGUGUUUUGACUCAUCUGGGAACUUACUGUCAGAUCACCAAGACGUCCAAAGUGGAGUAGACAGGGAAGACUAGGCCACUU